CCUUCGAUAGCUCAGUUGGUAGAGUGGAGGACUGUAGAUCCUUAGGUCGCUGCUUCGAAUCCGGCUUGAAGGA
rnacentral:tRNA from 1 species